rnacentral:rRNA from 1 species
UGCCCGUUCUGAACAGCCAGCCGGUUUCUCUUGAUGAUCUUCACCGGUUGUCUCGGGUGACCGGCAAGUUUACUUUGAAAAAAUUAGAGUGCUCAAAGCAGGCGCGACGCCUGAAUAAUGGUGCAUGGAAUAAUGGAAUAGGACCUCGGUUCUAUUUUGUUGGUUUUCGGAACACGAGGUAAUGAUUAAGAGGGACAGACGGGGGCAUUCGUAUUGCGACGCUAGAGGUGAAAUUCUUGGACCGUCGCAAGACGAACUACUGCGAAAGCAUUUGCCAAGAAUGUUUCCAUUAAUCAAGAACGAAAGUUAGAGGUUCGAAGGCGAUCAGAUACCGCCCUAGUUCUAACCAUAAACGAUGCCAGCCAGCGAUCCGGCUGUGUUCCUCAAAUGACACGCCGGGCAGCUUCCGGGAAACCAAAGCUUUUGGGUUCCGGGGGAAGUAUGGUUGCAAAGCUGAAACUUAAAGGAAUUGACGGAAGGGCACCACCAGGAAUGGAGCCUGCGGCUUAAUUUGACUCAACACGGGAAAACUUACCCGGCCCGGACACAGGAAGGAUUGACAGAUUAAGAGCUCUUUCUUGAUUCUGUGGGUGGUGGUGCAUGGCCGUUCUUAGUUGGUGGAGCGAUUUGUCUGGUUAAUUCCGAUAACGAACGAGACUCUAGCCUACUAAAUAGACGUCCCGAUCACUCUCGUCGGGCGUUCUUCUUAGAGGGACAAGCGGCGUUUAGCCGCACGAGACAGAGCAAUAACAGGUCUGUGAUGCCCUUAGAUGUCCGGGGCCGCACGCGCGCUACAUUGAAGGAAUCAGCGUGUGCUUUCCCGUUCCGACAGGAUUGGGUAACCCGUUGAACCUCCUUCGUGCUGGGGAUAGGAGCAUGUAAUUUACUCCUUGAACGAGGAAUUCCCAGUAAGCGCGAGUCAUAAGCUCGGGGUUGAUUACGUCCCUGCCCUUUGUACACACCGCCCGUCGCUACUACCGAUUGAAUGAUUUAAUGAGGUCUUCGGACUGGCGCUCGGAACGGCCUUUCGGUCCCGCCGGGCUUGCCCGAAAAAUGACCAAACUUGG